GAUGAACGCUGGCGGCGUGCCUAAUACAUGCCAGUCGAGCGAACGGACGAGAAGCUUGCUUCUCUGAUGUUAGCGGCGGACGGGUGAGUAACACGUGGAUAACCUACCUAUAAGACUGGGAUAACUUCGGGAAACCGGAGCUAAUACCGGAUGAUAUUUUGAACCGCAUGGUUCAAAAGUGAAAGACGGUCUUGCUGUCACUUAUAGAUGGAUCCGCGCUGCAUUAGCUAGUUGGUAAGGUAACGGCUUACCAAGGCAACGAUGCAUAGCCGACCUGAGAGGGUGAUCGGCCACACUGGAACUGAGACACGGUCCAGACUCCUACGGGAGGUAGCAGUAGGGAAUCUUCCGCAAUGGGCGAAAGCCUGACGGAGCAACGCCGCGUGAGUGAUGAAGGUCUUCGGAUCGUAAAACUCUGUUAUUAGGGAAGAACAUAUGUGUAAGUAACUGUGCACAUCUUGACGGUACCUAAUCAGAAAGCCACGGCUAACUACGUG
rnacentral:rRNA from 1 species